rnacentral:lncRNA from 1 species
CGUCCCGGAGAGCACCUCACAACGCCGGUCAGCUCCGCUGCCCGACAGGGGGGAGGAGGCGAGGUACUGCUAAUUGCCGAGCGCCCACAAAGCGCUGCCUUACCCACCGCAGCCGCUAGAGAUUUCUUAUCGGCGCGCUUGCUGGCUCGGUGGUCGCGGUGCGAAAGCGCUGAGGCUGCACAGCCGGAGCUCCGUGCACGACGAGCACCCGCCGCCCUGCAGCAGGGUUCGGCACCCGCCCGCCGCGCAGCCACAAUCUGGCAGCCGCCGGCCCGCGCUCCCCGCACGCAGCUCCCUAUUUGGCAGCGCCCGGCACUGACCUCCCCGGCGGCGGCGGCGGCGGCUCCUCCAUGGCGGCGGCGGCAGGGAGCAGUGCGGCGACGUCUCUCAUGCAUGCACCGAGGCCGCCAUGGCGGCGGAUCGCAGUGCGCGGCCCGACCCGGCCCGCUACGGCGCCGGAGGUGCAGCGGCGGAGGAGGGGACGGGGGUGGGAGCUCUACCCGGCUGCAGGGACCCGGCCGCCAAGAGCCGCCCGCGCGGCCGCCAUCUUGGAAUCAGCCUCACAGGGCAGCGAAGCCGGGAGCAUCGCUACGGCGCGCGAGGAGGGACUCGCCGAGCCACAGGCGCUCUCUGCGCCGCGGCCGGAUGGGUGCGGAGGAGGCAGCGCUCCCCGCCCGGGACGCGCGCUGCUCUCCGUCCCCCUGCCGCCCGCCCUCUGGCCGGAGGCGGGCGGUGGGAGCGGGGCGUUGUCGUCUGCGAGACCGGGGGGCGGCGGAGGGGGUGCUGCCCGAGGACCAGAGGAAGAGCAGCAAACCCUGGCACUGGUAAUACAAGUUCAAAUAUUGUGUUAUUUCUGAAGAGUGACGUUUGAACUCAGAAAGGACUGGAAUCAGUUCUCACUUCUGCUUAAUUCCUCAAUUAAAUUAACUAUACAUUUAUACAGAUUUCUUUCAUUGCAUGGCAGUGGCUUUUAGCAUUAUUUUCAGCUAUCGUAUGGGUCAUCAUCUGACACCAGUCACUGUAAUAUUGUGUUAGAAACAUGUUUUUCUUAACUAGCAAAAAAUACAUAUAUACAUCUGAUGUCUUAUGCCAUGGAGGUGAUGAUGUGAUAGUGUGGAUGUGCUGACACCGCAGGGGCACAUGACAGAGGUGGAAAUGGGGACUUCCCACCACUACUACUUCCUAUGAAUGUGUAGAUGGUUUACUGAGGUAAAUCAGGGUUCACUGCAGCCUCUCAAAUGGGGAGAUCCGGAAAAAAAAUUUCCAGCAUGCCUCUUUCCCUUUCCUGACAGGGCAACCCAGCAUCACAUUUCUGUGGGGUACCAAUGGAGAGCAUGCUAAAACUACAAAUAAUGCCAAGCAAGGCAAGACUGUAACUUUGAUAUAACAGCACUUCCUUGCAUACUGUAGGCCAUAGUGAGCAACAUAGCUGCUGGCAUCAAGAGGAGAGAGUGUAAAUCUCUCUCCUUAUCUCCUUAACAGAGGAGAUUUAUGAAAGGCCUGCAGAGAACACAGAUGGGCAGGAAAAAGGAUUCAGGAGCGUAUGGAGCUGAUGACACAGGAAACAGCUGAUGACAUAAGACUGUCGGAGCCUAUCUGUAAAUGAUAUUUAGACAUGAAAAAUUAAAGAAAUUGCAGAGAUCUUACAAAAAUUGAUACAUAUGAAGUUCUUUUAGUGAUUCUGUCUUCAUUUAGGGAAUGUUCUGUUAUAUCAAAGGCUCGAUGACUGCCAGUUUGUGAGUCUAAGUAUACCGAAAGUGCACAGGUGCAUGAAAAUUGAUAAAGUUAUUCGGUUUGAUUCUACUGCUGAAACUGAGACCGGUACAAAGAGAAGAGACAUCACAAUAAAUGAUGUACCAGAAAAAUGAGUUAAAACAUUUGAAAUUUUAAUGGAUUUUAACACCUGAGGUGGCAGUUAAUUAUGACUCUAGAAUUAUAAUAUCAGUCAGGACUGUGCCUGCAAGUGUACUUCUGUCAUCUGAGAGUUCUACAGCUAUAUACAAGAAAAAAAAGUAAUAAGCAAAAGAAAGAUACAGUCUGUGUAAAUAUUUAAAUGUGUUAUAAAAAUAUCUUUCAAGUUGUUUCUCUCAGUAACUGUCACAGGCUCAAACUUUCAUACUUAGUAAUCAAAUGGUCAUUCGCUAUGAAUCCGCAUGCAAAAAUAGUAUCCUGGACAAUAACAGUUUUGUAGAUUUAGGUUUUCUUUCCAAUAAAUUAUUUCAUUUCCACAAAAGCAAAGGGAAGUUAAUUAAAUGUAGUCCCACCCUCAGCAGCAGACACUGGAAAGCAGCCUGUUAGAUACAAUUAGUCCAGCUCUAGUUAAAUCUGCUGAAGAUAGAAUUGGCAUUUUUCUUGGCCAUAGGUUAGAAAUGCUCUUCUGCAGACCUAUGAAGAAUAAAGCAUGAACCAUACCUGCAUUUGAUAUGUGGAAGACCAUGUGACAACAUUUCUUUCUUAUGUAGAUAUUGCAGAUAUUCACCCCAGAGCCAGAAUAAAAUACCAAGAUGCAUUUCUACCUGGAAAUAUGCAGAUUCAUCCAUCUACAGUUUUGUUGCUUUCACAGAAGAUCAGGAUGUUUGGCGUGGGUUUUUUUUGAAAGAAAGAGGACUCUGUUUUCAGUCUCAUAUAGCUUGAGCUUUGCUCCAAUUGAAUUGAAGUGUGAACCUCUGAAAGAAAUUAAGGAAUCACACUGUUCAAUCGUCUGUUAACCACUGUGAUUCAUUCACUUCAGAAGCUUGCAUAAUAACUGCCAAAGCUUGUUCAGCAGCAUGAUUUAACAGCCACGCUAUAAUAGGAGCCAGUGAGCUUGAUGGAGGUAGAGUAUUUCUGUCCAAACACUGUCAUCUCACAUGCUGCGUGUCAGAUCACACAGGGCCUGAUAUCAUUGACUCAUCACUAUUAGAGGAGUAUUUGUAAGUAACAGUAGCAUGAAGUCAGAAACGUUCCUGGCAUUACUGUUUUAUCACUUCAACUCUGUUUUUUUGUUGUUGUUGUUGGUUGUUUUGUUGGUUUUUUUUUUUUCUGUACUUCCUGUCCUAAAAAGCAACUGUCUGCAGCCAUUAUUAUAACAAUAUGACCCACAUGAGAGGAGGAUGAACCUGAGUUGUGCUUAAAGCAGUGUGAUUUUGGUGUGUAGAGCUGGCUGUGGGGCUUAGUGCCUGUACUGCUAGGCAGAGCUACAAUCACUGACAGAUACUCAAAGUUACCUAGAGACUGAGAGUGGAAAUGACCAUCUUUAGAUAUAGAGAGACUCAAAACAUUUUCCGUGGCUACAGUAGCUCCUGUCUCCCCAACAACUUACUUUAGACCUGUUAAUAAAGCCUGAGCUGAAUUUAGUACAGCUGGAACAUAUCAGCGUGAGUCCAUUUAAAGCUAACUUGGUUCCACUUCGUUCCUCUUAAUCACACUAUAAUUCUUUCCCCAACUGUAUUAUAGACAUACUCAGCAACCAACCAUGGGAUAUUUUUAAAGAAGGCCAAGAUCAUGGCAGUGCUUUGUCUGUGUUUGAGUUUGAUAUAAUAUAAUAACAUAUUCAAAGAAGCUCCACUGGAGAAUUGAGGCCUAUCCUCUGAAGCCACAUUUUAUAGACCUAGAGCAUAGCCGGUUGCUUUCUAUGUAUGUUUGGCAGUGCAAUUUAGUGCCUCAUCGCAUGUAACACUAGGUAUUUUUGUGGACUUUGCGUGUCUGAACACUUGCUUAUAUUAAAAGUUUUCGAGAUGCUAUUUGUUUUUUUUUUUUUUAACAGCUCAGAAAACAAUUUAGAAGUUCCAUACUCUGUCUUUUAAAAUAACUGGUUGUGCAUCUGAGAUUCUUCCUACAACUGCCUUACAGCAGCUGCAAAACAGCUGUGAGAUCUAUAUCAAGCUUUCCUGCCUAGAAAUACCUUCUACAAUUCUGGUCCACUGUUCCUCCUUCGAACAGCUUUGUGUAAAGUGAGAGUAGUCACAGGAAAGCAGUGUAGCUGGUAUAUUCCUUCAUCUCAGUAGAUCGUGGCUUUUGCAUCAGCUCUAUGACAUUAUAAGCAACUAUGAGAAGAUUUUAAUCUUCAUUUAAUGUUAAUCUCUGCAAACAUUUACAUACGUAUCAAUUCAUUUAUAUAAUAGGCGUAUUGAAAUCAAUGGGACAGCCCCAAGAGAGUAGUUACUCAUAUAUACAGCAAUGUUUAGAGGAUCUGUUUCCACCUUCUGCUCUGAAUCAUCUGGAGUAAUUUAACACCCAUGAUUUCACAAGGUGAAUUUAUCUGUCAUGAUUUAAUCCUGUUGAUAGUUCAGGCACUAAUGUAUUCUCCCCUUGUCACAGUACACCCCUGUCUGAAGGAUGACAAGUUUGUAUCUCAUUCUACAACUCCUGCUGUCUCAAAUUCCUCUGUGUUGCUGUCUUACCUUACACUACAUCUCUAUCCACUUCAUUAGUUUAAAAAAAAAAAAAAACAAACUGUUACCUCAUUAUGAACAUUACUAUUUUAAUCCUUCUAAAUAAUGGUACACGUUGAUCCCUUAUGUUAUUUCAGUGCAUUCCAAGUUUUUUAUUCUCAUUUGCAUCUUGUUCCCUAUCAUUAUUUUUAUAAUUGUUUCCAGUCUCCUCAUCUUCACAGGUACUGGUGAUUAUUUUAAGACACAUCCUUGGUAGGAAACAUAGCACACAGCACUUGAAAUAAGUGUUGAAUGAUAUGAGCUAAUCUGCUUUCCUGGCAACAGGAAUCUCUCCAGCUACAGCCAGUUGAGGAAUCCAGUUUAUGACCCUUGUACCAUGGAGCUAAGGUCUCUGUGACGCACUCCGCUGAGCAGCUGCAGAAGACAGAGCAUCUGCACGUUUAGCACCUUUAUGAGCCAGUUUGAAAAGAGACCUGGAAGUUAAUUAUGAAUGUUACUUCUGAAGCUUUCCUAGACUAACGUAACAGAAAACUAUAAAGGAAAAUUUUGAAAGACCUAUGCAAAACUUGUCAAAAUUAACAGCUCUUUCCUCAAUUUUUCUUUACUUUCCCUCCUGACUUUCAACUAAACAAAACUCAUAUCCUAUACAAUUUUAAAGAGUCUCUUUCCCCUACCCACUAUGUAUAUAUGUUCACACAUCCUUCUCUAAAGAAUCAGAUGUAAAGGUAUCACACAGCAUUUGUUUGACCUACUUAGUACCUUUAACUGAGAUGAGAGAUCCCUAGGAUCUCCAUGUAUGUUAUAAAUCCAUACCGGUUGUUGCCCAGGCGAUGAAUUGUAAGGCAAAGUUUUAGGCCUGUUUGCUUGACUGACAAUUACUCUGUCUAGCGAUAUGUCUUCUCCAGGACAGACUCCUGAAUCCUGAAACUCAAAACAGCUUCGAGGAGCUCUUACUUCUCAAAAGCAUGAAGCUUACCCCAUUUAUGCCUUUUUUGUGUCAUCCUCCUUCCUGUCCCCCAUCUGCCUGAAUAACAUACAUGCAUCCAGUACAGUUGCAGAAGCUGCACACAGCAAGCAGAAUUGCCUCUGUACACAGCUUGAAAAACUUCUGUCUUUUGGCAAUGGACCCCCUGUGAAUUUCUCUUUCCUCUGUAAUCCUGUUAUCUCACAGAUGACAUAAGAGUUCUUUCUUUCUCAUUUGUUGACAAGAAAAUAUGUUACAUAUAAAGGAAAUAUAAUCUAUUUUCAUUAUGUUGACUAGCAUGUGACUUUAGAAUCACCUACGUAACCUUGAUUUGGAAAAAGGAAAAUCAAUUUUUGCAAAAUCUGAGAACUAUUGUUAGGUUUUGUUUUAAUGUAACUGUUUUCUAUAACCAUAGCAACGGUUUUAUUGAAAGUGUUCUGUUUAUAAUUAUUGAAAGGGUGCAUCAUUUUGCUUUUUUUCCUAGGCUCAUAAUUGUCCAAAGAUCUUCAAAAUAAUGGUUUCCAGAUUCAGGCUUCCUCCAAGAAAAAGAUUUGCCCUAAUUUGUACAAAGAGCAUCUAACAAUUUCAGAUCUCAUUCAUGUCCUCUCAUUCCCAAGGAAAAAAUAAAAUAAAAAGAUGGAUUGUUUUCCCUCUUUUUUUUUUCCUACAAGAAUUAAAAAAAAAAGAAGAAAAAGAAAGAAAAGUGACUUUGAAUUAGUUUGAGUGAAGAACACGUGAGAAAAAAACAUCAUUCACUGAGAUAACUAUGCACACAUCUGUAACCCAGUUGAAGGGCAGCGCAGUCACCGCUUCGCAGUCACAUACUGAAGCUAAGGGAAGAGCAGACUGCCAAGGAAAUACCUAUUCCUAAUGCAUCUGCCAAAGGAACGUUCAGUAAUACAAUCUGAGGCAGCAGUGUUAAUUAACAAGAAUUAUAUGUUUAUACUGGUUUUGUUUAAAGCACAAAGAUAAAGUUCCUGUUACGUUUAUGGAUGUAGUGUUAGUCUUACCUAUAUAUGACAGUGUUGUCACUGAUACAUCAUGGCAGCAUUCUACGUGAGACCAAAAAAAAAAACCCCAAAAAUCCAAAGAGAAAGCUUUUUAAGUGAUAUCACCAAUUUUAACUAAUUCUUAUUUUAAAACAUUAUGUAUCCCAAACAUAACUUGUAACCGUGUUCUGUUUUUCUUAGCACUGCACAUGCUUUUGCAAUUGUUUGGGUUUUUUUAAGAUGAUUGAUAUUGUCACCUUUGGGUGGAUCUCACUGUGACUGUGAGGAUAAAACAGACUUUGUUUUUUUUUAAGAGUAGCUGCACUUUAAACAGAUUCAGAUCCAUAGCUGUUGCUUGCUACUAUAGUGAUAAUCAGAAAUAGAAACAAAGGUGACAAAGUUUUCUUAGUUCUUGUUUUUAACCAAGGAAAAUAGAAUUAAAGUGUGUUGAUGGAGAACGGGGUGUCUCUUGAAGCUGAGGAUCUGUCAUUGCUCAGAUCUUCCUCUCUUACAGGCUGAGUGUUGUUACAUGUUUUUAACCCUGUUUCUGAUGUUUAUCCAUAUUUUGAAGUCUAGAUUUCUUCCUUCUUAACCUAGGCAGAGACAGUAGUCAAUUAGCCCUGCAACUUAGGCUGGACAUUAAGACACUAAUAUAAAGCAUCCUGAACUCACUUGGAAGACUCCAGCUUUCUAACUGUUCAUGGACAUUUUGCAAAGCUAGGAAAAACUGCUUAUCUGGAGAUUCAGCAAACAGAUUUAAAUUGGGUGAGCACACAUUAUUCUUUUGGUAGUUCUGGAGAGGGACUGCUGACGAGCUUGCUUGUUCACCUGUUGGAAGCAUUCAGUCUAGGUCAGUUACAAAACUUUAUCACACAUUGUGUAACUGCAACAUGCCUGCAUGAGAUCAUAGAAUUAUUUAUCUUCUAACUAGCUCUUCAGAUGGACACUAACACUUUAGAUGGACCUUUGAGCCAUAGCCCAUUUGGAGUGGAUCCAUCAGUGACCCAUCAAGAACAUUAAUGGCAUGGAGCAUCUGACAUCUGAGGAGAAGCUGAGAGACAUGUAAUGUUCAGCCUGGAGGACAGAAGGCUCUGGAAGGAUCUUACCAAAGUGAACAAAUACUUGAUGUCUGGGAGUGAUGCCCAGUGAAAAGGACAAGAGGCAAUGGGCACAGACUGGAACACGGGAAAUUCUGUUCAAACAUGAGAAAAACUUUCCUUGCCACUAGGUUGGCUGAGCAACAGCACAGGUUGCUUAGAGAGGUUACGGAGUUUCCAUCCUUGGAGAUAUACAAAACUCCACUAAUUGUGGCCCUAAACAACAUGCUCCAGCUGACCCCUGUUUCGAGGAGGGGGCUGGGGUAAGAUGAUUUUCAGAGGUACUCAUCCACAUCAGCCAUUUUGUGAUUCAGUGAUCCAACUGAUCUCAUAAAUGCUUUUCAAUUACAAGUAAACUCCAAUACACUGUAAAAUAAAACUAUUUACAAGCACACAGCACCACAAAACUUUUGUUAUCAUUUACAGUUCUCUCACAAAUUAUGUGUUUUGUUGGUUUGUUGUUGUUCUUUGCUUUUUAAAUUAUGGAUCUUAAAUAGAAAGCAGCUGAAGAUACAAAUUAAAUUACUCUUAAAUAAAUAUAUCAUCAUUCACACUGCUGUUAAGUAGCCACUUCUUCUGCAUAUUAAAUAGUAACUUCUUGUCAGAAGAAGGUGCAUAAAGACUGUUUACACAAGAUAUAAGGACAGCUUUGUUGGAAAACCUUUUUCUCCUCCUUUACAAAGUUGUGUAGUUUCCUACUGAUGAAGUUUUACAGUCAGGCUGACCAUCCUGCCUUUUCUGUAUUUUAUGCCUGAGCUGUUAGUAAGCUGUUUUAAGAAACUCUUACAGAAAAAUUAACAUCAACCAUGUAUUUUGCUUUCAUAAUUCAAUUAAUGAAAAAAACUUGAUAUUCAAAUUUCAUAAAUAAUAAAUAUUGCAUUUUACAUGUCCACUAAAUCAAGUCUGU